rnacentral:lncRNA from 1 species
GAAGCUCGGUUUCAUAUGUUUGGAGAUAGUGCUAAUCUUGAUGCAAGAUAGGUGCAUGAUUUGCAAGGAACAUACCAUAUGCUUAGAAAUCAAUUUGGACGCACCCAAUGGAACUACUAAAUGACGUGUGUCAUAUGGAAUCUUGCUUCGGUCCGUUGGUAGACAUUGUAAUUUUUAAUGCAAGAUUGGUGCACAGUUUGCGCCUAACGCACCAUAGUCUAAGAAACCAUUUUGGAUGCACUAUUUGGUACUUUUGGGUGAAGAGGCUCAAGUGGAAGCUUGGUUCGGUUAGUUAGGAGAUAGUGCUAAUCCUUAUGCAAGGUAGGUGCAUGGUUUGCAUGGAACAUACCAUAUGCUUGGAAAUCAAUUUGGAUCCACCCGAUGGAACUCCUUGAUGAUGUGUUUCAUAUGGAAUCUCGCUUCGGUCCAUUUGGAGACAUUGUUAGUUUCGGUGCAAGAUAGGUGCACAGUUUGCACCAAAUGCACCAUAGUCUAAGAAACCAUUUUGGACACACUUGUUGGUACUCCUAGGUGAAGGGGCUCAAGUGGAUGCUCGGUUCGGU